rnacentral:rRNA from 1 species
AACGAACGCUGGCGGCAUGCCUAACACAUGCAAGUCGUACGAGAUCUUCGGGUCUAGUGGCGCACGGGUGCGUAACGCGUGGGAAUCUGCCCUUUGGUUCGGAAUAACAGUUGGAAACGACUGCUAAUACCGGAUGAUGACGAAAGUCCAAAGAUUUAUCGCCAGAGGAUGAGCCGGCGUAGGAUUAGAUAGUUGGUGUGGUAAAGGCGCACCAAGGCGACGAUCCUUAGCUGGUCUGAGAGGAUGAUCAGCCACACUGGGCCUGAGACACGGCCCAGUCUCCUACGGGAGGCAGCAGUGGGGAAUAUUGGACAAUGGGCGAAAGCCUGAUCCAGCAAUGCCGCGUGAGUGAUGAAGGCCUUAGGGUUGUAAAGCUCUUUUACCCGGGAUGAUAAUGACAGUACCGGGAGAAUAAGCUCCGGCUAACUCCGUGCCAGCCGCCGCCGUAA